AUAUAUUCAACCCAAUGGAGAAAAUUAAUGGAGAUUUGGAUUGAUACAAACCAUUUGAGUAAAGAAUCAACCUUUGCUGAUGCAUUCAACCCUAAGAGUUCUGCAACUCAUGAGAAGGGGUGAUGAAUGAACAAUUGAGCGUUUGAGAUGUCGAGACGUGAAUGGUUCGACGGCGGAAAAAAAGGCUCAUCAGAUCAAAUCGGAAACGACACAGUUGAUGGAUUGGUGAGAAGUGGGUGGAAACGCAGCUGGAUUCAGAUUGAU
rnacentral:lncRNA from 1 species